GAUGAAGAACGUAGCGAAAUGCGAUAACUAAUGUGAAUUGCAGAAUUCAGUGAAUCAUCGAGUCUUUGAACGCACAUUGCGCCCCCUGGUAUUCCGGGGGGCAUGCCUGACCGAGCGUCAUUGCUGCCCUCAAGCACGGCUUGUGUGUUGGGCUCCGUCCCCCCGGGGACGGGCCCGAAAGGCAGCGGCGGCACCGAGUCCGGUCCUCGAGCGUAUGGGGCUUUGUCACCCGCUCUGUAGGCCCGGCCGGCGCCAGCCGACAACCCAUCAUCCUUUUCAGGUUGACCUCGGAUCAGGUAGGGAUACCCGCUGAACUUAAGCAUAUCAAUAAGCGGAGGA
rnacentral:misc_RNA from 1 species